GAUGAACGCUAGCUACAGGCUUAACACAUGCAAGUCGAGGGGAAACGACAUCGAAAGCUUGCUUUUGGUGGGCGUCGACCGGCGCACGGGUGAGUAACGCGUAUCCAACCUGCCCACCACUUGGGGAUAACCUUGCGAAAGUAAGACUAAUACCCAAUGAUAUCCCACGAAGGCAUCCGAAUGGGAUUAAAGAUUUAUCGGUGAUGGAUGGGGAUGCGUCUGAUUAGCUUGUUGGCGGGGUAACGGCCCACCAAGGCAACGAUCAGUAGGGGUUCUGAGAGGAAGGUCCCCCCACAUUGGAACUGAGACACGGUCCAAACUCCUACGGGAGGCAGCAGUGAGGAAUAUUGGUCAAUGGGCGAGAGCCUGAACCAGCCAAGUAGCGUGCAGGACGACGGCCCUAUGGGUUGUAAACUGCUUUUAUAAGGGAAUAAAGUGGGUCACGUGUGACUUUUUGCAUGUACCUUAUGAAUAAGGACCGGCUAAUUCCGUG
rnacentral:rRNA from 1 species